ACUCAACCCUUUUCUUCUUCUCCUUGCUCAGCCACAGCAGCCCAAACCGCACAUACACACACACGCACACACGCAUGGAAGGGAGAGAGAGAACUUCAAAUUCUCUCUCUAAAUCUCUCCCAAAAUUAAAGAAAUUGGCGGAGAUUGAAGCUUGGAGGUGAAUCGCCGUCAUCUUCUUCAUCUUCUCCAUGGUUUGGAGCUUAUUUUGAGGUGAGCUUCUUGAGCCCUUUCAUGGUAGAUCUUCAAAGCUUUGUUUAUAAUCCAUAGAAAUGGCUUAUUUGGAAUCCUAUGAUGCUAAAUAGAGGAUUAAUGCUUGAAUCAUGGAUCAAUUUAAUGAUUUCUUGCAAUAGUUGUAACCUAGGGCUCUAUAAUGCAAUUUUUGCUAGGAGGUGGGUUUGAUCUAAAUUGAACCUAUAUAAACCUAAUUGCUAGGUAAACAAACGCGUUGGCGAAGUCGGUUCGGCGAUCCGUCGAGCCGUUGCGAAGUUAUUUAAGAAACGGACAUUUAGGCUUCGGGUCCGCCGGGAGGGCCGAGGCGACGUCGUAAAAUCGUGGAAAUGGAUUGGAGGCAUUGUGGCACAUAACC
rnacentral:lncRNA from 1 species